AAAGAUAUGACAGUCGAGGAAGAGAUGGUGGAACCCUUAGCAAUUUUACAGCAGCGGAAAAUUAGGAAUGACAACUCUUCCAUCAUUCAGUCAUUAGCGUUUUGGCUUGGGCAACCACUGGAAGAAGCUUCAUGGGUGGACAAAGUUGAUUUCCUUCUCCAGUUUCCUUUUCUCAGUCUUGCGGACAAGGCUAGUCUAGUAUUCAUCGAGUGUUCUAGCGUUCAUUGGAAUAUUG
rnacentral:misc_RNA from 1 species